UACGUAGGGUGCAAGCGUUAAUCGGAAUUACUGGGCGUAAAGCGUGCGCAGGCGGUUUUGUAAGACCGAUGUGAAAUCCCCGGGCUUAACCUGGGAACUGCAUUGGUGACUGCAAGGCUUGAGUGUGUCAGAGGGAGGUGGAAUUCCGCGUGUAGCAGUGAAAUGCGUAGAUAUGCGGAGGAACACCGAUGGCGAAGGCAGCCUCCUGGACCGGCAUUGACGCUGAACAGCGAAAGCUAGGGGAGCAAACGGG
rnacentral:rRNA from 1 species